GAUGAACGCUAGCGGCAGGCUUAAUACAUGCAAGUCGAGGGGCAGCAUGAUUGUAGCAAUACAAUUGAUGGCGACCGGCAAACGGGUGCGGAACACGUACACAACCUUCCAAUAAGUGGGGAAUAGCCCAGAGAAAUUUGGAUUAAUACCCCGUAACAUAACGAUGUGGCAUCACAUUGCUCUUAUAUAUUUUUUGUUUAUUGAUGGGUGUGCGGCUGAUUAGAUAGUUGGCGGGGUAACGGCCCACCAAGUCUACGAUCAGUAGCUGAUGUGAGAGCAUGAUCAGCCACACGGGCACUGAGACACGGGCCCGACUCCUACGGGAGGCAGCAGUAAGGAAUAUUGGACAAUGGACGCAAGUCUGAUCCAGCCAUGCCGCGUGAAGGAUUAAGGUCCUCUGGAUUGUAAACUUCUUUUAUAAGGGACGAAAAAAGGCUUUUCUAAGUCGUCUGACGGUACCUUAUGAAUAAGCACCGGCUAACUCCGUGCCAGCCGCCGCUGUAAGAC
rnacentral:rRNA from 1 species